rnacentral:rRNA from 1 species
CCCUUAGAUGUUCUGGGCUGCACGCGCGCUACACUGACGCACGCAACAGGUGCCUGCUCCGAGAGGACUGGGUAAUCAUUUGAGUGUGCGUCGUGAUGGGGAUAGAAUAUUGUAAUUAUUACUCUUCAACGAGGAAUUCCUAGUAAGCGCCAGUCAGCAGCUUGCGCUGAUUACGUCCCUGCCCUUUGUACACACCGCCCGUCGCUCCUACCGAUGGGUGAUCCGGUGAAUGAUUCGGACUUCAGCGGCUCCCCUGGGGUGCGCCGGAGAAAGUUUUGUGAACCUGAUCACUUGGAGGAAGGAGAAGGCGUAACA